CUCCCCUUUCCGUGGAGAGACUAUCAACUCCAUCUGUCACAAAAAUUAAGGCUAAAUCUCCUCUCCAGAAGCAGAGGGAGCCGGGGCUCCGACGCGCUCAGCGUCGGGCUGUCUGCCUCUCCCUAGAGGCCAAGUGAAUUUGAAAUGGCAAAAGUCACAGCCGGAGGCCCAGCACUAGGAGAUUCCUCCGGCUGCGGGAAAUCUUCCUGUACCUGCUGAAGCUGCUGCGUUCCUCAGAGGCGCUUGGUCUGCCGUGGGAAGCUGCACCUCUGCAGUCCCCAAAACCAAAAUCAAACCUUAAAAGAGCCAGACUGAGGCAGAGGUGCUGAGCAGCUAAUUGGAGGGGAUAGUAUGAGCCUCCAAAGAUUAGGGAAGAAAAUUGCAGUUGAAGAAAACUUGCUUUGGUUCAAUGCAAAAAUAAUGGGAUGAAUGGCAUGCUGAAAUAUCAUAUGACUUACGAAAAUGAUGAAUGGUAAGCAACCAGGUAGUAAGUCACCAGAAAUGCGCUGUCAUUCAUGGGA
rnacentral:lncRNA from 1 species